UCAGUAUGGAAAAUACACCCACGCAAAAAAUGAAGCGCUUUAUCUUGGAUGCAGAGCCACCUGUGCCAAAGGAACAGCCAAUAUCGCGUAAUGUACAUGUAUUUUUAAUUACUUUGCACGCUAUAGCAGAGCAGAGCAACGUAUAAUUGCUGCAUUUAAAAAAGAAAUUGUCGAACUAAAAUCAAAAAUUGACGUUCUAACGGAAGCUGUGGCGGAGGCGGUGACCCUUAUUAUAUUGCAGGGUAUAAAAGAUCCAGAGGCAGCAGACAGCCAAAUUAGUUUCCUGAUAGAAUCGACGGUGGAGUUGGAGCAUUUCCACGGAUUAUAACUCCGGAGCUCACCGAUUUCUUUGUGAGUGGUGGCAUAUCAUUUUCUUCAUUAUUUUCUGUUAUUAGAUAAACAAAUUACGGAACAUAGUGGGGACGAGCCCAUCUAAAAAAUCUGCCUAAAAAAUGUGCUGCACGAGAGGCUGAUGUUGUCGUAUCAUUUGGAUGAAGCCUCGGAAGAAGUUUCAAGAAAUCGGCGAUUGAAACGCGUAAUUCAUCACUCAUCUAUACAUAUGUAUAUGAUGAUUUUUCCGAGCUGCUAGAUGACCAAUGCCUUGAGACAUCGCCCUGAUAAUGUAGCGUAUGGUGUGUCAUCGCUUAUGUCAUCGGGGGUAGUGACGCUGUCAUCGACGUGUCAGCAGCAUCGAAGGCCCGUACUGCAGGCGAAGAGUUUAGGGAUAUACUAGUUUUGUGGUGAACGUGGGUAGCGAUCGUUUCCAGCCCCAUAUUCCUAAACAGCAUCAACAAGCGAGACGAGCCAUGUCUGUCUGUUUGACGCCUGGUUCUCAGAGACUAUAAGAGCUAUAGCAACCUAAUUUUUUGCAAUGACGGAGUCUGUCUGUGAUAUCACACUGAAUAAAGAUUCUUUCAAAAUUUGUUUAUGCCCCCGUCCGCCCCAAAAAGAUACGAGAAAGCCGAAAGCUGGGAAUCAUAGAGAAUUAUCAUAUCUACCAGAUUGCCGAAUCUGGAUCAUUAUUAUAGCCAGAGUGAAGUAAAUAUUUGCCGUGUCUACGGAACCCCUUCCAAGCGCCGACUCAUUCUCUCUCACUCUUCCUCGUGAGAGGGAAGCGAGACAGCAACAGUUGUUCUUUUAUUUUGACUGACUGUUGGACGACGUUGUGAUCGCGUCGGGGACACCUGGAGAGCUGAAAGCUUGGACGUGACAAAGAUAGGCCCGAUCGUGCAACGAUCGUCGUGGGUCAGCGUCGCUUUCUCUCGCUUACUCCUUCAGACGAGAUCGCAGCUUCACUAUCUUCUCUCUUCUUUGACUCGGCUCUCACAAAUUUAAGUGCUCUCUCUCGCUCUACCCUACGUGCCUGCAUAAACCACUAUCGCUGAUCUCUCAUGCCCUGGUCUUGCACUUCUUAGUGGCUGACUAUGCCUUUAAAUUCGAAUUUUUACCAGAGAAAUUAGAAUUUUGACCAUUUUGCUAACUCGUGUACACGACAUUCGGAGACUUUAUCCCUUUCAGAAUAAUGUGCUGCUUGCCAAGGCAUGGAAUGAUGUAACUUUUAUCUCCCUUUCUCUCGAUCUUUGUAAUUGUAGAAUCAGCUGUGCUUCGUUUAGCUGCUUCACUGCCAAAGCUAAUAAUCCGAGAAACGAGUCUCUGAGUCACACAGCCUGGGCACCACAAAACAAUAUGGAAUAUCCGCUUGGGCCAGACGGCCGAUAUUCUGGCAUAAAUUCGAAAAAUUUAAUCCUUAAUCCCCUCUCUCUUUAACUGAUUGGAACUUUAGAUUUGGAACUGUCCGUUCGGUAAAAAAAUCGCUUAAAAAUACUCUCACAGAGCGGUCGAUGCGGUCGAUGGUAACAGCUUGAAAGCCCAAUUCUAAAAGGAAUCAUGAUUCCUAUCGGAUCAGCCAAAUGACUUUCAACUGUCGCUUUCAGUGUCCACCUUUUCUCCUCCUUUCCACCCAUACAUUUUAUAUGGCCCUGAUCUUAAAACCAUAUUAAAAGAACUCUUCUACACCAAUUCCUUACAGUUUGGGAUUCACUUUUAUUUCGUUUUCUUUUAAAUGUUUACAAGCCCCAGCACAAUAUGAGAUCCAGUGGCGAUUUGGCUCACAGUGUCAGCUGGAUAAGUUUUUUACUUGUCGCGGGAGUCCAGAAUCCAGAGUCCUUUCAGCUCCUCUAGAUGUCUGUCGUCUGUCGGCGAUCAGUAAUUACUGGAGAUACAGAUACUGUUUCAGUGUGAAAGCCAUGGGCGGUAGCUGAAAGAUGCUCCUGUGGCUGUACCCUUGCCGCCCCUCAACACCCGUAAUAAAA